rnacentral:rRNA from 1 species
UUAAAUUGAAGAGUUUGAUCAUGGCUCAGAUUGAACGCUGGCGGCAGGCCUAACACAUGCAAGUCGGACGGUAGCACAGAGAGCUUGCUCUUGGGUGACGAGUGGCGGA